UCCUUUUCUCCUCCUCCAGCUGCUCACCUCCUUCCAGUCCAUUCCAGUCAUGGUCCUUCCUCACACACGUGCAUCGCUACCGUUUGUGCAUGUGUCUGUGUGAGGACAGGCGUCAUUUUCAACACGUCCGUCUUGCGGAGGGAGCGCCAUGCUCGCUUCUGAGGUCGACGUGACAGCGGCGGCAAAUUAGUUUGGAGAUGCCCUUCACCUGUCUCUGCUUUUGUGGCCUAAACAGCCUCUGCAACAGACUCAAGUUGAAGAAAAAGCAACAGUUACAAGAAGAGGAAAGUCAGAAGGUAGAGGAAUGGAAGGAUCGGGAGACACAUGUGUAACAAGCAUUACAAUGUUAAAAAGAAUGUCAAACAAGCAGAUUGCAACAUAAGACUUUUUUUUAAUAGACUUCCUGGCUCCUUUCCGACUUGCUAGGUUUAAGCAGCAAGCCCAAAGGUGUGACUUUUUGCCAUUCUUUGCUUUCUGUUACUAUUGCUUUUCCAAUUGUCGACCAUUCCUUUCUCGUAUUUACCAGCGUACUAUUUGGUGACAUGAAGUCAGUGGGCUCCAGAGAUCCAUUGUUGCUCUGGUCACACCUCUCGGCGAUACCCCGUUGCUCUUUUCUCAUCCUUAAUCUCCAUUCCACGCGGAACUGGAGCCAAAGCCGCCGCGCAAAGCGCCGCCGCCGCCGCCGCCGCACCUCCGGCCUCUCCCGUCGACGUCCGUUCAACUGAGUGAGAAUUCCAACUCGGCGAGAAGCUCGGCAGCCAUUUUCCAAAGUCACCCGCGGUGCGCCGGAGCUCAUCUCGAUUUUCACACUGAGCUGGGCACGAUCGAAAAGUGAGCAGCUGUCCAAUCAGCGGCGUCGCUGGAGUGUAAAGAUAGGAGUCAGGGGUCACAAUGAGCAACAGGCUUUGACAAUUCCCUCCUCAGACAGCUCCACAUCUCGCUCUCAUUAAUAGAGAGACGAGUAAUUACAAAAAGUGCCGGCCAGUCCUCCAGUGGGAGGAGUGUCAGCCCGCCCGUAAAUACCAGCACAGCUAUCACCUGUUGGAAUGCGUCACUUGAAUCUUUAUGUGUGCAUGGCGGCGGCGGCGGCGGCGGCUGCCACAAUACAUGCUCCAGCCUGAAACAAGUGGAUAAGAUAUGCCUUUAGCCACUAUAACAAUGCCUUUUCAAAAUCUGCAUGGAGACCCAAAGACAACGAUGCACACGCACACACCCGCCGCAUAUUCCUCGGUCUCAUUAGUGUUUGUGAUUAUGCAUCACACGUCCAGUCAGGCAUUGGAGAUGUAAUUAACCUUUUCCAGCAGGAAACAGAUGCCUGGAUGUCGCACACACAUAGACGUACACAAUGACACACACACACGGCCGCUGUCAGGGAAACAAAGCCAACGUCACGGUGUCACGGAAACAAAGUCCCAAAAAGCAGAGCCUGGCACUCUGCGAUAAUCCCCCCCUCCCCUUGCAUAUUACAUUUAGGCUCAGCGCUGCUGUCUCCACUCGGCCUCUUCUAUUUCUUGUAGCCUAUUAAAAUGUGAUGCUAAUAAUUGCGGAUUGUUUACUAUUACUCUCACUGCACGCUUUGAAAUUCAACAAAGCUGAAGCUAUUUCACAGUGCGGAACACCUAUUAUGAUUCACAAGGCGCCAACACCGAGAAAGAACACCAAUGCCAAUGAGGAGGGGAUGAGUUGAAAGAAAGAAAGAAAAGAUGCGAGGGAGGAAUGAAGACGGAAGAAAGAGUCCAAUUGUAGACCAAGCAGUCAUGUUAAUUGGCUACAGUGGAUAACUUUCCAAAGUGGGGGGGGGGGGGAUACUGGAAGGAACAGCCUGAGCUGUCAGAAUUACAUUGGUUUAACGCUCACUCCAUUUCACCUCAUUAAUGAGAGAAAUGUUGGCUUCAGUCAUGGUGACUGACUUGAAAUUGAUAACCGUGCGCACACAUGUAUGUAUGGGGGAGAUUUUCCCCCUCCUCCUUCAUGGAUCACAGCGAUGCUCAGGGAUUGUAAUUCAAGGACAAAAAGAUAAAAAUAGAAGGGUGGUGCACGACUUGUGCAGUCGUGGGACGGGACGGGACGGGACGGGACAGGAGGAGGUGCGGAUAUGUGUGAGAGGGAGGUUACAGUGAAAAUGAGUCCUGUCGCAUUAGAUUUGGGUCAAGAAUGUGGGAGAUGAACCAGACGAGGAGGCCACUAUUACAGAAGCUGCUGGGGAGGGAGGGAGGGAGGGAGGGAGGGAGAUUCACACUCCGUCUCUCCCAUGGGACUUGAUCACUUUUUUUUUCUUCACACAUAUACUCACAUGCACCACAGGAAGAGGAUGAGGUAUUAGGGGGAAGAAAAAAAAAGGCUGUAAACACAAAAGAACCAGCAGCAGGGAAGGAAAAGAAGAAGAGAGAAUAUAGAAUGGGGGAGAAAGGCUCAGCUUAGCUAUUAUAUUUAUGUAUGCAAUUCCAUCCCUGGAUUUUUCACGUAUAAUGAGAGAAUUUGAAUUCCAGUUCGACGAGAGCACAAAUGAUUAUGUGUGUGUUUAACUUCAAAGUCGUGUGUGCAUGCUGUAAAACAUGGAGCGCUUUUCCUCAAGGAAGCUUCAGCCCAUGCUUAUUAAUGCUAGUGCUGGGCGAUAUAGCACAUUGAUAUCAUGCUAUAGUAGAUUUUCCAACAGUCAUAAAAAUAAUAAUAGCUCACCGAGUUUAGCCUUCCUUCCUUCCUUCUUUCCUUCCUUCCUUCCUUCCUUCCUGUGUGCUUGCUGCACUGCACGAACUCUUCCCAUCAGUCCUUUUGAGCUAAUGAAGAUGAUGGUCUCUCUGGCCAAUGAAUAGGCGUUAGAGCAUUGAUAGACUCCGAAGAGAGUCACAACAUGGCUUAGUUUCCACAAGCAGCAGCAGUGAAUUUAGCAAGAGGGCAGAUUAAGAUGAAUUGAAGAAUAACCAGAGCUGCUGUAUAUUUCAUAUGGAUUCAUUUUGUCUG